rnacentral:rRNA from 1 species
UACGUAGGGUGCGAGCGUUAAUCGGAAUUACUGGGCGUAAAGCGUGCGUAGGUGGUUCGUUGUGUCUGUGGUGAAAGCCCCGGGCUCAACCUGGGAAUUGCAUUCGAGACUGAAUAGCUAGGGUGCGGUAGAGGGAAGCGGAAUUUCCGGUGUAGCGGUGAAAUGCGUAGAUAUCGGAAGGAACAUCAGUGGCGAAAGCGGCUUCCUGGACCAGCACCGACGUUCAGGCACGAAAGCGUGGGGAGCAAACAGG